UGUGUGUGUGUGCGUCUCCUCUCUCCCUUCCUUUCCUCCCAUAAAACUUCAAGGCUCUGUCUUUGUCCCUCAACAUCCAUGGGAUCUGCCAAGGUCCCCCUCACAUCAGUGGUGUGUGUGUGUGUGUGUGUGUGUGUGUGUGUGUGUGUGUGUGAUAUGUGCAUGGUGUAUCACAACACAGAAGUCAGAGGAAGAGGAACAUAUCUGAGGUUGCUUCUCUCCUUCCACCAUGGGAUCCAGGAGCUGAACUUAAGGCCACCAGAGCUUCUACAACAAGUAGAACCAUAUUGCUGGCUCAUUACACCAUGCUUUGUUAAGUCUCCCCCCCACCCCACUCCCAACAAAAGGCUGAGGGGUGCUUAUUUAAACCAUCAAAGCAGACCUGGCCUUCAGGUUCUUCCAGCAUCCCUCAGUCCCUACCUGUUAUAAGGUAGGGCUGCUAUACCCCACCCUCUACCCCAAACUUUCUAGCCCAGGGGCUGGGCUGCCCUUCCCCCAGGGGAUUUUCACUCUAUAACCCAGGCAUUUUGGUUGUCUGUCCCUUUUUCACUCUUGGCUGCUGCAUCUGGUUCCUUCCCCCCUCCCCCUAUCCCUAUCAGGGUCAGGGACAUGUCCACCCUGGAUUCUCCCAAACGUCCCUGCCUGGGACUAUGCUUUCCCUUCUAUCUGUCCACAGUAAACCUUCUCUUCCACACAAUAAUACCUAGGAACUGUUAUGCCCUUCCUUUUUAUUCCUUCUUCUUUUCAUUUAAGAUGUUCAAGAAGAAGAUGGUUUUUUUUUGUUUGUUUUUUAAGAGAUGUCAAGGGGCACAUUAGAAAAUUUCAGGAAAUUGUCAGAGCAACUGUACACGACUGCAAGUCCAGAUUAACUGUUCAUUACAGAAGCACUAGACUUGGAUGGCAUAGAAUAAUCUUGUGUGUGUGUGUGUGUGUGUGUGUGUCUGUGUGCAUAUAUAUACAAGUAUAUAUAUGCAUAUGUGCUAAUAGAAACACACUUUUAUAUUUUGUCUAGGUAAAAUGGAAAGAAAUAACAUUAGGAGAAAGUAAGGCAGUAGAUGGGCGUGGAGAUGGAGCUGAUGUGUACGGUUUUAUGGGAAAAGUCUAGAGUGGCACCCUGAACCAGGAAAAGAAAGGGUCUCCAUGACUCUGGUGCCCAGUGUAUUAGAACAGAGAUUAACUGAUGUUUGGGCCCAUAGAAGCCCCAUGACAAUGUAGAAACUGCUUUGUAGGCAGGGUCCACUCAUCCAUCCCUGUUCUGAGUCUUCCAGAGGCAAAGGCAAACAUACACCACCCUCACUUUCAUGCUGGGGGAAGCGGCUGCCUUUUACAGCGCUAGCUGCCCACAGAAUGGGUGGGCAACCAGAGGCAGGCCCUGUUCCAUCAAGAAGAAAAGCUAACAUUCCUGGAGGGCACUGUGAGAAGGUGUCUGUGGGUUAUAAAAUGUGGCUGAGGAAAAUGAAUUACUGUGACACCGGCGAACGUGAAGGUGACGUCAAAAUGUAAGGAGGGCGCAGGAGGACAACCCGCUUGACAACACUGAGGUCCUCUGUAGCAGAUGUGUUGAGGGAAAUUUUAAGCCUGUUCCUGGGUUGUGUUUCUUUUGGGUCUUAACCAGGAAAAGUGUUAAGUCCUGUGACCGUCUGGAUAAUGCUAGUUCUUCUGGAGAAUUCUAUGCUCCUAAACUACCACAGAAUACUUUAUUAAUUCCAUGGGAAAUGUAUGAUUGCCUCUUUUCUGUUCCUUUGUCUGAGUCAGAGAAGAGGGAUUAGAUGCUCAGAAACGACCCUUUUCGGGGGGGGGGGAGGCAGGGGUGGUUGCUGCUCCCCUGCCACACUGACUCAGAAGGACAAAAGUCACAGUGAGAGAUGAACGAGGUGUCGCCUGGCAUCGAAGUCCUUUCAUGGAUUGAGGAGCGCCGUAAACCCAGAAAGAGACACAACCAGAGUCCGACAUCUGAAGAUGGUUUCUGGAUUCAGAGAUAAAGGAUCACUGAAAAAAGCAUUUCUCACUGCACUGCAAGUUUCAGACUUUCCAAGCCCAAGCACACAUUUCGUAAGCUCAGCACUAAUUUCACUAUUAACCAUUUCUUUUCGUGGGUAGGUGUAUAUGCAUGUAUCUGUGUGUGUGUGUGUGUGUGUGUGUGUGUGUGUUCACAUGGAUGCACAUGAACGUGGAGGCUAUAGGUCAACAUGGGGUGCUGUCUUAGGGUUCCUAUUCCUAUGGAAACAGACCGUGGUGUGGCUUUACAUUUUCGGAGGUUUAGUUCAUGAUCAUAACAGUGUGUGACUUUGUUGUGUGCAGGCAGACAUGGCACUGGAGAAGGAGCUGAGACAGAGUUCUUCAUUUUGACCCAAAGGCAACAGAUCUGAGUGUCACACUGAGUGAAGCUUGCACAAAGGACCUCAAAGCCCACCCUGCUCUCUCCAGCAAGUCCACGCCCACUUCAACCAAGCCACACCUCCUAAUAAUUCGAUUCCCUGUGAGCUUAUGAGGGCUAAUUACAUUCGAGCUACCACAGGUGCCUUCUGUACUUACUCCAGGAGCUCACUGAUUCAACUGGACUGGCUCACUAGAAAAAUCUUGGAGAUCCCGCUGUUGGUGUCUCUCCAGACUGUGGUUAUAGGUAGAAGCCGUGAGGUUCCAUUUUUACAUCGGUACUAGAGAUCUGAACCCAGAUUCUUCUGCUUGCCUGACAAGGACUUCACCCUCUGGGCCUUCCCCCAACCAUCUUAGGCCCUCGUCCCUGGCCUCUUGCCAUUUCUUCUACAAGAGCAUUACUUUCUAAUAUGACAAAGAGACACCAGUGUUCCAAAAAAAAUCAUAAGAGAGUAGCAAGUCGAUUUUAAGGAACAAAGAUGAAAUCAUGAGAGAUCACACAUACACAGGCUUAAUCAUUAAGAGCUUGAAAUCUCAGAACUUCUCAAUGUCAACAUGGAUGACUUCAAGGAGAAUGCAGCUACCCACCAGGUUUUCGCAUUUGUGUCUGUUGUCCGAAAGAUGUGUAGGGCUUUUCACAUCCUGUGCCAAGAAAGACCAUUUUUAGGAGUUUUUCUCUUAAAAGAUUUACACCUGCCACAGACCACAUAUGUUUCUAUAAUGAAGGUAGUUAAAGUUUAAAUUUUAAAGAAGUGGCAUGAGCUUACCUGAGUCUUAAAGACUUCCCCUUCUACUGCAUCUAAGUCUUAGGUUUCUCGGAAGAAAUCAAUGAAAAUUUAUGCUGAAUUCAAAAUAUCUUCUCUCCCGAAGGCUCGUGGCAAGAAUAAUUCACAUUCUUUAUACUUCACAUGGUCAUCUAAGGAGUCAUACGUGUUAGUGUUUGAGGUCUUUCAAUCAAAGUCCUAAUAAGGGCACAGACUCCAGAAGCUUUGGCUGUCCUGUGAUUCCUCAGAAAAUAAGCAAGCAGCUUCCCAGGACUUUAUAGACUAAUUUGGCCACUAGAAACCGAAAAGGCUUCAUGGAGUUGAAUGUGAAAAAGAUGCCCCAACUAAUACGGCAGCAUGGGGAGCAUGGGGUGGACACUCGUGUAGCUGCUCAGAGACGCUCUCCCUCUUUGAAGUACCGAAUGACCAGAACCUAAAGCAAUUGCUAAAGACUCUGAACGAAGAACAACGUCGGCACCUGGACAGAUCAGAAAGCUGAAGAUUCCAUGGAGCAAAAAAAAAUCACAAGCUUGUGGAAUCAUUGUUAAUCCUGUCUUCUUGGGGCGUUUUCUGGACUCUGCUCUUCAGAACUCAGAUCCAGGUUAGAAGACUGACUUGUGAGAUAAAGAAGAAAAUAAGAAUCAGAUCAUCUUUAGUUUGACUUGUAUACAGAAAACUUAGCAAGCAAUAUUAAUUCCAACCCUUCCAAUGAAUGACUUUGGAAAUGCUGACAUCACCACAAAGAUUCCUGAGCAUCAGUUUCUGGAUAUGGAUUCAAAAGCAAGCUGAAUAUUCUGCAAUGAUGCAGGCUAGAAGACUCCCCGGGAUUAUUGAUGCAAAGCUGCAGGAACCUGGAACUCAUCACAAUACUUGGGCUCUGGCACUUUCCACGUUAGAACUACAGUGACUGCUGAGGCAUGGGGAGAGGCCGCCGAGGAUGCAUAGGACCAGCCAUGUCUCUGGAUGCAACCCUAAAUAGGUCAUUAAAGGCUGUGGAAGCCUGUGGAAUCAGGGUCCGUAAAUAUGUAAGAGCUGUAGAACGUCAGGUGAUGAGCUACAACGUGUCAUUCUCUAGACUUGAACAUAAUUAUUUCAAUUAGUUUUUAAUACAUAUUUUAUGAGUUUUUUUUGAGAACUUCAUAGGAUGUGUUUUGAUCAUGUUCACAUCCCUCUUUGCACACUCCUCCCAGAUUCAUCGCCCCUUCCCUACCCAGGAUUGAAUGAAAAUGGCCCCCAUAGGCCCAUAGGGAGUGGCACCACUAGGAGGCGUUGCCUUGGAGUGGGUGUGGCUUUGCUGGAAAAGUGUGUCACUGGAAGGGGGCUUUGGGGUCUCAAAAUGCUCAAGCCCAGGCUCAGCUUCUUCAUGCUACCUGCCGAUUUGCAUGUAGACCUCUCAGCUAUCUCUCCAGCACCAUGUGUACCUGUUUGCCUCCAUGCUUUCUGCCUUGACAAUAAUGAUCUAAACCUCUGAAAUGUAAGACACCCACAGUUAAAUGUUUCUUCUAAGAGUUGCUGCGGCUAUGCUGCCUUUUCACAGCAAUAGAAACCCCAACUGAGACAGUGACCUUUUGCUUUGAACACAUCAACUCUAAUUGUGCUACCCAUGUAUUCAUAGAUGUGACCUUCCAUUAAGGUAUUGAUUUUUUAGGGUCUACAUUUUUAGAGAAUAUUAAUUCUCCCUGUCCAGCAGUUAUCAAACGUCAAUAUCAUCUUAGCUAGGUUGUGACUUUGUGUCCAUGUCUCUCAAAACAAAACUAAACAAAAUGAAACAACUGUAUUUACCUGCAUUAGGUCCACACAAGACCAGCACUACCAAUGAUAAAAAAGGCAAAGUCACUUGUGGGGCCCUAUCAAUUACCUCUAAACUGUCGUCUAUUGAUAGACUUUGGGAGAGUGGGAAACACUGUCUUUAAUUGGGUGCUAAUUAUUGUCCAUUUUCCUCAGAAUUAAGGUAGACACUAAUCUAAAGGGUAGGAUUUUGAAAGUGACAUUUCCACCACAAAGCAGGGAAUCCUCUGUGUAUUAUAAUGCAGAGUAAACAGAAACCAGUCCCUUUGACAAACCCCAUGUACUACUAUACCCAGCAAAAGUAUCACUCAUAACUAAUGGAGAUAUUAAAAACACAGAUUUCUUCAGUUUCUCCAACAGGCUGUGGCAAUUGUGAAGGAAUGCUUUUUUUCUAAUUUCCAAAAUAGAUUACAAGAUCAAGCUUAAAUAUUACCACAUAUAUACACAUACACAUAUUUGCGUGUGUGUGUGUGUGUGAGUGAGACUUACUAGGUAUAAAUUUAUAGCAUAUGCUAUCAAUAGUAACUGUCAUAAUAGUGAAAGCUUCAGGCACAUUGAUUUGUCAUUUUAUAUCAAGUAGGCCAAUUAGCUGUCUGUUUUGUGAUUUAGCAUUAUUAAGUUUAUACAUUUUAAGGUUGUUUUUAUUUUUCAGUCAAUGAAACAUGCACUUUAAAUUUUUUAAAAUCAGUACAGCACAGCUGCAACACAGGAAGGCAGAAGAGUCAGUUCUGUCAUGGGCUGUCAGAAAAGUGACUGGCAACUCACCUAGGUCCUCACAUCCCUAAAGAUGGUGCGGUAGCUAGCAUUCCCACUUCAGUCUGCAAACAUCAGAGAGACAAAUAAGAUAAUUAAAGGGGCCUGAUUGUGUGGGAGUGUGUGUGUGUGUGUGUGUGUGUGUGUGUGUGAUCUCAGAAGCAGAAACAUUCUAAAAAGUGAGCAAAUUCAAAAUCUGAAUAAUGAAUACAAGUAAAUCGUUUCUAUAUUGAAAGCAUGUGGAAAAUUUGAAUGGGAGAAGGCUGGGAAAAUCUGAGAGCACUAAUCCUGCCAGAGGCAACACAGGGUGUGUCCAUUUGUGACACUCAACUCUGGCAGCUUUGCGGUGAGUUGGCUGGAGGUUGCCCCUCCCCUACCAAUCUUUGCAGAAUGAAUCUUCUCUGCUCUUUCAAACCAGCUGUGCUUUUUCUCCAACGGGAACGUAGGCUGGGGCCUGAUGGUCCAAACGAGUUUGGUUUCAGUGAAAAGUCGAUUGUUUGGAAUUGGACACCAAGAUGGAAUGGCCCUGUGACGCCAUCAGCAACAGGGUUACAGGGCUCAGCCUUAUCCUUCAGUCUCCGUCAGAUGCCAUAUGGAACAAACACAAGGGGCCCCGUAAAGACAUCGUCGUGCCGUUGAAGUUGGACACAGUCUCCCUUGGAUAUAACGCCUUCAUCUAAAAUGCCCUCGGAGUGCUGGCUCCUUUCCCCAACACACUGUAGCUCACCUCCACCCUCUCCUCUACAGCAAGGCUUCCCCAAUGUUCCCCUCACAGCUGCGUUCUUCUCCAACCACUUCCUUCUUUUGGAGCUAUGAAUUUAUCCUUCAAAAUACUUGUGUUGGUUGUCAUUUUACACUUACCUGCAAGACUGAUAAAUGUCCCCCUUGCUCGCUGGGAUGGGUAAGUUUAGCCAGGAUUGACUGAUUGUCAUAGACAUGAUUAGUAAACAAAAAAAAAUUUGAAAAUUACCGGGAAUUAAGCUAAGUUAAAAACUUCAGAUAAAUAAAGCAAUUGCUCAUA